GACGAACGCUGGCGGCGUGCCUAAUACAUGCAAGUUGAGCGAUGAAGCUUGGUGCUUGCUCCAAUUUGGAGAGCAGCGCACGGGUGAGUAACGCGUGGGGAAUCUGCCUUUGAGCGGGGGACAACAUCUGGAAACGAAUGCUAAUACCGCAUAACAACUUUAAACAUAAUUUUUAAGUUUGAAAGAUGCAAUUGCAGUACUCACUGAUGAUCUCGCGUUGUAUUAGCUAGUUGGUGAGGUAAAGGCUCACCAAGGCGAGGAUACAUAGCCCACCUGAGAGGGGGGUUGGCCAGAUUUGGACCGAGACCAGGCCCAAACGCCCUCGGGAGGGAGCAGGAGGGAAACGUCGGCAAGGGACGGAAGUCAUACCGAGAAACGCCGCGUGAGGGAAGAAGGUUGUCGGAUCGGAAAACACGGUUGUUAGGGAAGAAAGUUGUUUAGAGUGGAAAGCUCAUAAAGUGACGGUAACUACCCAGAAAGCGACGGCUAACUACGUG
rnacentral:rRNA from 1 species